GACGAACGCUGGCGGCGUGCUUAACACAUGCAAGUCGAACGCUGAAGCUUGGUGCUUGCACUGGGUGGAUGAGUGGCGAACGGGUGAGUAAUAAGUGGGUAACCUGCCUUUGACCCGGGGAUAACCUUGGGAAACUGGUUCUAAUACUGGAUAAAACAUUUCACCGCAUGGUGUUAGUUGGAAAGGUUUUUAUUGGUUUUGGAUGGGCUAACGGCCUAUCAGCUUGUUGGUGGGGUAAGGGCCCACCAAGGCGACGACGGGUAGCCGGCCUGAGAGGGUGACCGGCCACACUGGGACUGAGACACGGCCCAGACUCCUACGGGAGGCAGCAGUGGGGAAUAUUGCACAAUGGGCGGAAGCCUGAUGCAGCGACGCCGCGUGAGGGAUGACGGCCUUCGGGUUGUAAACCUCUUUCAGCACGGAAGAAGCGAAAGUGACGGUACGUGCAGAAGAAGCGCCGGCUAACUACGUG
rnacentral:rRNA from 1 species